UUAAUAUUCUUAUACGGAAAAAAUAUAUUCUUUAACAAUGAAUAUGUUUCUAAUAUUAUUUAUACUGUAUCAAUAUGGUUAUUACGACCCAAAACUCCGCCAAGUCAUGAUGGCACCUAACUCAACCUGCUAGGUAAGCCAAACAGUAUAAGUUACAACUAUAAUGAGUAAUCAUUGAUUACGGUAAGUAAAACGGCAAAAGAAUUCAAUACAACUAUCCCAAGGGCUGGUAGUACAAGUCACGAGCCACUAUAAUUUAGAUUUACAAGGUUGGUAUGAAGAAUAAAUACAAUAUUUAUUUAUAGUUUACAUAAACAAAAAUGAAAUCAUAUACUACCGUGAACAAGAGAUAGCUUGAAUCUGGAACGUUGGUACGUCUUCAAUGCAAAGCUUCGCCUUCCAUAGCUACUCAGCUCCAGAAUCUGCACGCAAGGUACAGAAAUGUAGUAUGAAUAUAACCGACCUCAUGUACUCAGUAAGUAUCUAGAAUAACCUCAGAGAAGUAGUGACAGUGUUUUUAAGUCAAAAAGAUACUCAUUUUCAUAAAAUGUGUAGCUCAAUAACAUGUACAAUAUAGAGAGUGACACGACCCAAAAUUUCGCGUUUAAAAACAAAUUCUACUAGCUUCUAUGUAAUUAAUAGACUGUGCUAUAAAAUUAAAAUAUAAUUAUUUUAAUCUAGAGUGUGGCUUGUAGUAUUUUUGAAAAAUGCCAACGACUAAAAUAAUAUUGUAGUAAUUAUUAUUUUAUUUUUAGAUGAUAAUAAAUUGAUAGAAAAAUUCUUAUAUUUGAAAAAUAAGACAAUUAUCAGUAAAUUAUUUAAAAUUUUAAAAAAAAAUGCACAAAAAAGUAGUAUUUAACUAAUUGCAGUAAAAUGAUUAAAAAAUCGUAUUUUGCAAAAACAAAGAUAAUUAUCAAUAAAUUGCAUUAAACUUUAAAUUGCGCAAAAAGACUACAUUUUAUCAUUAACGGCUAGGAAGCCUACAUAAAUUAAUUUUUAAAUAACGAGGGCCAAAAUUGAGUGUCAACAGCUAUGCCUCUUUGACUGGAGACGGUGUAAGAGUCUUCGGGCAAAGAAAUUGACGCCAUACUUAAUUUUUUCCCGACUUCUAUUGUGUAAAAACAGAUGAUGUGUAGUAGGGGAAUAGAGGAGAUUUUGAAUAUUGUAACCAAACUCAAGUGUUUGAGUUGCCUACAAAUCUCGGGUUGCACAAAAAUCUGAUCGUGUGUAGUUCUGGGAUGCAAUUGAGUGCCACUUGUGGGUUGUAGCCUUAUUGAGUCAAAGACAAAGGACGCAAAUGUCCGAGGACGAAAAUGACUCAUGUGACCUCGACAAUGCUUUAAGAUUGCCCCAGUAUCAAAAUGUGGUGGCACUGGGACGUAGUUGUUGGAUAUGAUGGAUAGAUUGAUGGACUUUGAUGUGGGUACCACCAAACUCUUGCCGAGUUUUCUACAUAUCUCGAAUGUAACGAGAAUCAGGCCGAAUGUAGUUCGAUAAAUUGGUUGAUAACAUAAUAGAGCAGGAUUAGAAUGGAUUUAAUUUUUGAUUUUUAAAAUUGCCCAAACAUCAAGCUCUAAUGACACUGGAGUUUUUAUUUUAAUGCAAGGGACACAGAUUACCUAUACACCCCAUGACAAAUGGGAUAUAAAUUGCAUGAUACUUGGGAGCAUACCGUCGGCUUCUAUUGAGGAGUUUGAUGUUCGCUCUCAAAAUUUAUCCAGUUUGCUACUAGAAGAUAAUUCCAUGUUAUGCCACGUCUUUUCUAUUGAUAGAGUUGAUAUGGUGUAGACUAUUCUUCCGUUUGUCUUGAGAGAGAUGGAUUGUAAUGGGUUGAAUGAUGCAUGUGUAUUUGAUGCAAGGAUGAUGUGAUCCAUUGAAUGAAAUGGGGUCCCAGGUUGGUGUGCCAAGACCCUGGUGCGAACUCUAAUUUGAAAGAAAUCCGGGUUGGAUACUGAUCCAAGUUUGUUGGAGCACUCUAAUUUGAAAAAAAUCCGGUUAUGUGCUGGUACGAAGUGAUCGGAGCAUUUGAUUUGAAAUAAAUCCAGGUUGGGUACCGGUCCGAAGUGAUCCGAGCAUUUGAUUUGAAGGUUAGACAGGUUGUGUACCAUUCCAAAAUGAUUGGAGCAUUUGAGGGUUAGACGGUUUGUGUACUGUUCCGAAAUGAUUGGAGCUAUAAAAUUUAAAAUACCCGCAUUAGAAGGUGGGUGCCUGUAAAAUUUAAAAUACCCAUAUUAGAAGGUGGAUACCUAUAAAAUUUGAAUUACCUGUAUUAGAAGGCGGGGGCCUGUAAAAUUUGACUUUAAAAUACCCGCAUUAUAAGGUGGGCGCCUAUAAAAUUUAACUUUGAGCUGCCCAAAUUAGAAGGUGUGUGCCUGUAAAAUUUAACUUUGAAAUGCCCGCAUUAGAAGGUGGACGCUUGUAGAUUUGACUUUGGAAUGCCCGCAUUAGAAUGUGGGUGCAUAUAAAAUUUGACUUUGAAAUCCCUGCGUUAGAAGGUGAGUGCCUGUAAAAGAAAGGAGUUAUCUUUCCCACACAAGAAAAUUGAUGAAAAGGGGACCUACUUGACUCUUUUUUAUUAUUUUCUGCAUUUUUUGUUGUCUUUGUGAUUUUUGUAAAGAAUGUUAAAAAAAAAUUAAGAGUAAAGAAAGACUAUAAUUUAUUGAUCAAUCAUUUCUUGACUUCAGUUGGUACCAAUAAUUAGUAUUGUGCAUAAAAACUUCCAUCAUAUAUUAUCCGAUAAAUCGAGAUUGGCUUGUGGGUAAUCUUAUAGCUUCGAGUGAUACCUCAUGUAUACCUAAGUAUCGAAAAGAUUUGUUCAUCUUGCUUCAAUCAAUGAUUUUGACUUUUGCAUAUCCUCAUGUUUCAAGUGCCCUCACCAAAAAAAAGGUCCUAAUUUGCACACAUUUGAAAUAUUUAUAUUGUAGGAUAUUUUGGGAAGCACAUUCACACUCAAAAAGAUGUUCAAUGCACGCGAUUGAGAUACCAUAUGCUUGGCCUUCAUGUAAGCAUCCACUAAUAUGAGAACACUUGAAAUAGGAUAAUGUAAGGCUUGUUAUCGACUUGUAAUGUAGGCUUGGGGAUGUGUAGGAUAUUCAUUUGGGAGGAAAGUGAUGAAUCCCUCCUUGAGCACUGCAUUGUAUCUGCGUUUGUUUAAAUCAUGCUUCGGCACUUGAUCUUGUUUGCCUCGAUGUCCU
rnacentral:lncRNA from 1 species